GCGCCGUCACCCUGCUAAAACUCGGGCAGCUGUGGAGAGGCCGACCAGGAGGACCUGCCCGGCCAUACCAGGCAGAUGGACGGAAAACCUGAGGAAUCCAGUAACUCUGGGCUGGGCUCCUCCCCCAGAGGGUCAGAGGUGCUGUUUUCACCUGGGAGCUGAGAUGAACUUUGAACGCCACAGAGCUUCGGGGAGACCCCAGGCUGAGCGGAGGGAGAAUCCCCGCCUGCAGCCAUGGGGUGGCCAGCUCUGCGCCCUGGGGUGUCUGUCCUCAGAUCCUGGCUGCAGAAGCAGGAGUCCCAGAGGCUAGGGGCAGAAGAGGCUCUGAAUUUGUACUGGGAGAUGGAGAUGUUCUCUUGGGCCACCUCACAGAGAAGGCCUGGGCCCUGCCUGUGGACCCUUCCAUCUCCUGCUGACUCCAGGACAGAUGAGGAAACUGAAGCUCAGAGAGGCUAAGCAACUGGCUCGAGGUCUUACCGCUCGGAAGCAGAACUGGAACGAGGUGGUCCACCCCAGAGAC